CACCAAUCAUUUUUUUUAAUAUUUCUAUUGCAAGUGUUUUUGACGCAUUACACCUUAUCAUUAAUGUAACCACAAAUUUAUCAUAAUACUUUUUAAUUACAAUUAUUUAUUGCCUGUUUGGAGCCAGCCCUAUGGGUCUAGACUAGAGUAUUGCAUUAAUUAGAUAAAAAACAAAACAACAAGCAUUAAAAAGUACAAAUGAUGGAACGGAUUUAGACAAUUUCUUGAACGAUAUGGCUUUAUAGGUGCUCAGAUAAAUCCACCCAAAUGAUUUAUUUCAGGCAUGUGAAAACACAGAAUAUAAAUGAUCUCCAUAAUUUAAUUUAAUUUGAUCCCCGAGGCAUAUGUCUAUCAUUUCCCCUCAUUAUCACAGAAUCCAUAACGUGAAAUCUUUGUUUACCUACUUGAUGACCCAAUUCAACUAAAUACGCCAGCAUAUUCAACAUUUUUAACAUCAAUAUUUGAUUUGCGCUGGUUGAUGCUUUCCC